rnacentral:rRNA from 1 species
AGUCGCCUACGGGGGGCAGCAGUGAGGAAUAUUGGUCAAUGGGAGAGAUCCUGAACCAGCCAAGCCGCGUGAGGGAAGACGGCCCUAUGGAUUGUAAACCUCUUUAGGCGGGGAGCAAUGCCGGGCACGUGUAGCCGGACUGAGAGUACCUGAAGAAAAAGCAUCGGCUAACUCCGUGCCAGCAGCCGCGGUAAUACGGAGGAUGCGAGCGUUAUCCGGAUUUAUUGGGUUUAAAGGGUGCGUAGGCGGAAUGCCAAGUCAGCGGUAAAAUCGCGGGGCUCAACCUCGCUCCGCCGUUGAAACUC